GACGAACGCUGGCGGCGUGCUUAACACAUGCAAGUCGAACGGAAAGGCCCUGCUUUUGUGGGGUGCUCGAGUGGCGAACGGGUGAGUAACACGUGAGUAACCUGCCCUUGACUUUGGGAUAACUUCAGGAAACUGGGGCUAAUACCGGAUAGGAGCUCCUGCUGCAUGGUGGGGGUUGGAAAGUUUCGGCGGUUGGGGAUGGACUCGCGGCUUAUCAGCUUGUUGGUGGGGUAGUGGCUUACCAAGGCUUUGACGGGUAGCCGGCCUGAGAGGGUGACCGGCCACAUUGGGACUAAGAUACGGACCAGAAUCCUACGGGCCGCAGCAGUGGGGAAUAUUGCACAAUGGGCGGAAGCCUGAUGCAGCAACGCCGCGUGCGGGAUGACGGCCUUCGGGUUGUAAACCGCUUUCGCCUGUGACGAAGCGUGAGUGACGGUAAUGGGUAAAGAAGCACCGGCUAACUACGUG
rnacentral:rRNA from 1 species